rnacentral:rRNA from 1 species
CCCUUAGAUGUUCUGGGCUGCACGCGCGCUACACUGAUACGAUCAACGAGUAUAUCACCUUGCUCGACAGAGUUGGGUAAUCUUCUGAAAUCGUAUCGUGAUGGGGAUAGAUUAUUGUAAUUAUUAAUCUUCAACGAGGAAUUCCUAGUAUGUGCGGAUCAUCAGUUCGCGCAGAUUACGUCCCUGCCCUUUGUACACACCGCCCGUCGCUCCUACCGAUUGAAUGGUCCGGUGAAGCGUUCGGACCGUGGCCUUUGGACGGUUCGCCGUCUGUUGGCUGCGGGAAGUUCGUUAAACCUUAUCAUUUAGAGGAAGGAGAAGUCGUAACA